GGAAUGCUGGGAUACUGGAGGUCCGCCCAGCGCUUCCUGCGGGUUUAGCAAUCCGUCGGAGUUAGAGAUGGAUCAUUUUAUGCCUUUAUUGUUUUAUCUGGGCUCUCUGAAUUGGCAAAUUUGGCAUCCGGGAAGAAAUGGCCAGGGACUGCUAAAUGCCUGAUAUCUGGAGGAAGGACCGAUUUCAGAGUCACUUCAUUUGACCUCAGGAAGGUACAGCUAAUUAGCCAGCCAUGAAGAACUGAGGAGACAGGUCUACACAUCAAGUCUCUAGGAUGUCCUUCCGCGCAGACAUUUAAGAAACAUCAACCAUAUUCCAAGAACUGGAGAUACAGAGAUGAGCAAGUCCUGGCCUUCAAGAAGAUAUUAUUAGGAAAGAGGCCAAGCAUACUAUUUCAGGAAGACCAACAUGAUGCCCUGAACUAAGGCAUUGAGUCUACGGCCAUACCACCCUGAACGCGCCCGAUCUCGUCUGAACUAAGGCAUUGAUAACACAA